AACGAGGGGGGCAAGCGUUAUUCAUCGUGCUUGGGCGUAAAGGGUGCGUAGGCGGUGGGACAAAUCUUUGCUGCAAAGUCCAUGGUCCAACUGUGGUAGCGUAAAGAAAUUGUAACACUUGAGUCUUCUGGAGGCAAGCGGUACUCUUAGCGUAGAAGUAUAGAGCGUCGAUUCUAAGGAGACCACCGUAGGCGAAGGCGGCUUACCAUGGAAGACUGACGUUGAGGCACGGAGGCUUGGGGAUCGAACAGG
rnacentral:rRNA from 1 species